GAUCGCCGGAUCGUCGAUCGUUGCCGGCAUCGUCCAUGGCUGUCGGUCGAUGAUCUUCUGGAUCGUCGAGCGCAGAAUCU
rnacentral:sRNA from 1 species